CAUUCUUCUGAUCAUCUGAAGAUCAGCUAAUAGAAAAGAAGAGCAGCUAAGUCUUGUGGACCUGAUCGACUUAAUACAGGAGCUACAGAUUUCAACUACUUUGGCCUAACUCUUCCCUGAAACGAUGAAUUACACAAGUUAUAUUUUGGCUUUUCAGCUUUGCGUGAUC
rfam:Camelus ferus unplaced genomic scaffold scaffold1262, whole genome shotgun sequence.